rnacentral:lncRNA from 1 species
AUUUUUCUCAUUUCAGAUUUCAUAAAUAAAAAAGAAAAUUUCUUCAAACAUUUUUUUGAGAGGAUUAAUAUUCAACAGCAUAGUGAAUUGCUCUAAGAGAAACAAAAAUUUUAAGUUCAUUAGAACACAUUCAUUCUGUGUCAGAAACCUAAGCUGUGUCAACUAUUUAAUCACAAUCCAAAUUUAGAGCUGAAUCCAGCUUGAAUGUUGUGUCCAUACUUGCCCCCAACCGUUCAGGGUUCAACCUCUGCGGUCGUAUAAAGCUACGCCCUGCGGAGCAUCUGGUUUUAUUAUUAAUUAUUGUUAGCUG